rnacentral:rRNA from 1 species
UGACUGCGUACCUUUUGUAUAAUGGGUCAGCGACUUAUAUUCUGUAGCAAGGUUAACCGAAUAGGGGAGCCGGAGGGAAACCGAGUCUUAAUUGGGCGUUAAGUUGCAGGGUAUAGACCCGAAACCCGGUGAUCUAGCCAUGGGCAGGUUGAAGGUUGGGUAACACUAACUGGAGGACCGAACCGACUAAUGUUGAAAAAUUAGCGGAUGACCUGUGGCUGGGGGUGAAAGGCCAAUCAAACCGGGAGAUAGCUGGUUCUCCCCGAAAGCUAUUUAGGUAGCGCCUCGUGAAUUCAUCUCCGGGGGUAGAGCACUGUUUCGGCUAGGGGGCCAUCCCGGCUUACCAACCCGAUGCAAACUGCGAAUACCGGAGAAUGUUAUCACGGGAGACACACGGCGGGUGCUAACGUCCGUCGUGAAGAGGGAAACAACCCAGACCGCCAGCUAAGGUCCCAAAGUCAUGGUUAAGUGGGAAACGAUGUGGGAAGGCCCAGACAGCCAGGAUGUUGGCUUAGAAGCAGCCAUCAUUUAAAGAAAGCGUAAUAGCUCACUGGUCGAGUCGGCCUGCGCGGAAGAUGUAACGGGGCUAAACCAUGCACCGAAGCUGCGGCAGCGACAUUCAGGUGUUGUUGGGUAGGGGAGCGUUCUGUAAGCCUGUGAAGGUGGCCUGUGAGGGUUGCUGGAGGUAUCAGAAGUGCGAAUGCUGACAUAAGUAACGAUAAAGCGGGUGAAAAGCCCGCUCGCCGGAAGACCAAGGGUUCCUGUCCAACGUUAAUCGGGGCAGGGUGAGUCGACCCCUAAGGCGAGGCCGAAAGGCGUAGUCGAUGGGAAACGGGUUAAUAUUCCCGUACUUGGUGUUACUGCGAAGGGGGGACGGAGAAGGCUAUGUUGGCCGGGCGACGGUUGUCCCGGUUUAAGCGUGUAGGUGUGUGUUCCAGGUAAAUCCGGUUCACUUUAACACUGAGGCGUGAUGACGAGGCACUACGGUGCUGAAGCAACAAAUGCCCUGCUUCCAGGAAAAGCCUCUAAGCAUCAGGUAACAUCAAAUCGUACCCCAAACCGACACAGGUGGUCAGGUAGAGAAUACCAAGGCGCUUGAGAGAACUCGGGUGAAGGAACUAGGCAAAAUGGUGCCGUAACUUCGGGAGAAGGCACGCUGACACGUAGGUGAAGUGAUUUACUCAUGGAGCUGAAGUCAGUCGAAGAUACCAGCUGGCUGCAACUGUUUAUUAAAAACACAGCACUGUGCAAACACGAAAGUGGACGUAUACGGUGUGACGCCUGCCCGGUGCCGGAAGGUUAAUUGAUGGGGUCAGCGCAAGCGAAGCUCCUGAUCGAAGCCCCGGUAAACGGCGGCCGUAACUAUAACGGUCCUAAGGUAGCGAAAUUCCUUGUCGGGUAAGUUCCGACCUGCACGAAUGGCGUAAUGAUGGCCAGGCUGUCUCCACCCGAGACUCAGUGAAAUUGAACUCGCUGUGAAGAUGCAGUGUACCCGCGGCAAGACGGAAAGACCCCGUGAACCUUUACUAUAGCUUGACACUGAACAUUGAGCCUUGAUGUGUAGGAUAGGUGGGAGGCUUUGAAGCGUGGACGCCAGUCUGCGUGGAGCCGACCUUGAAAUACCACCCUUUAAUGUUUGAUGUUCUAACGUGGACCCGUAAUCCGGGUUGCGGACAGUGUCUGGUGGGUAGUUUGACUGGGGCGGUCUCCUCCUAAAGAGUAACGGAGGAGCACGAAGGUUGGCUAAUCCUGGUCGGACAUCAGGAGGUUAGUGCAAUGGCAUAAGCCAGCUUGACUGCGAGCGUGACGGCGCGAGCAGGUGCGAAAGCAGGUCAUAGUGAUCCGGUGGUUCUGAAUGGAAGGGCCAUCGCUCAACGGAUAAAAGGUACUCCGGGGAUAACAGGCUGAUACCGCCCAAGAGUUCAUAUCGACGGCGGUGUUUGGCACCUCGAUGUCGGCUCAUCACAUCCUGGGGCUGAAGUAGGUCCCAAGGGUAUGGCUGUUCGCCAUUUAAAGUGGUACGCGAGCUGGGUUUAGAACGUCGUGAGACAGUUCGGUCCCUAUCUGCCGUGGGCGCUGGAGAACUGAGGGGGGCUGCUCCUAGUACGAGAGGACCGGAGUGGACGCAUCACUGGUGUUCGGGUUGUCAUGCCAAUGGCACUGCCCGGUAGCUAAAUGCGGAAGAGAUAAGUGCUGAAAGCAUCUAAGCACGAAACUUGCCCCGAGAUGAGUUCU